AACGAACGCUGGCGGCAGGCCUAACACAUGCAAGUCGAGCGCUACCNUCGGGUGGAGCGGCGGACAGGUUAGUAACGCGUGGGAAUAUACCCAGUUCUAAGGAAUAGUCACUGGAAACGGUGAGUAAUACCUUAUACGCCCUUCGGGGGAAAGAUUUAUCGGAAUUGGAGUAGCGCGCGUUAGAUUACAUAGUUGGUGGGGUAAUGGCCUACCAAGUCUACGAUCUAUACCUGGUUUGAGAGGAUGAUCACCAACUCUGGGACUGAGCCGCGGUCCAGACUCUUACGGGAGGCAGCAGUGGGGAAUCUUAGCCAAUGGGCGAAAGCCUGAUCUAGCCAUGCCGCGUGAGUGAUGAAGGCCCUAGGGUCGUAAAGCUCUUUCAACUGUGAAGAUAAUGACGGUAGCAGUAGAAGAAACCCCGGCUAACUUCGUGCCAGCAGCCGCGGUAAUACGGAGGGGGUUAGCGUUGUUCGGAAUUACUGGGCGUAAAGCGUACGUAGGCGGAUUAAUAAGUUAGAGGUGAAAUCCCAGGGCUCAACCCUGGAACUGCCUUUAAAACUGUUAGUCUUGAGAUCGAGAGAGGUGAGUGGAAUUCCAAGUGUAGAGGUGAAAUUCGUAGAUAUUUGGAGGAACACCAGUGGCGAAGGCGGCUCUCUGGCUCGAUACUGACGCCU
rnacentral:rRNA from 1 species